ensembl:lncRNA
AUGAAACUCAUUCUGCGGUGGAUUUUUUGCUUCAGUUUAGGUUUUGUCACUGAUUGCCAAGUGAAUCGUUAUGGAUUGAAAGGAAGCUCAAUCCGUCUGAGCAUCAGUCCCAGAAAUCAGUCACUAACUAAUGUUGGAUGGCAACGAUUCAACAGGAAAGAGGUGCUUACAGACGCAAAAGAAGUUUCCCCUCAUUUUAAGAAAAGAAUGAUCCUAAACGUCUCAGACUGGUCUUUGACCAUACACAACCUUGAGGAAAAUGACAGUGGACUGUAUGAAGCCAUUAAGAAGUGGGAGGUUGAACCUCUGGCUGCAUUCACACUUACAGUGGAGAACACUGUCUCUAAGCCUGUAAUCAGAGUGGAUCAACAUGACUUUAAUUCGUCUGCUGAAGUGUGUCGGGCUGCAGUGAACUGUUCAGCUGAUGGCAGCUGGGCCACGUUUGACUGCCACCAAAAUGUCUGUACAAAGAUACAAUCCUCUCCAUUCUCCAUUAACAUCACUGUCACUGCACUGGACAGCAGUGGCAUCAAAUGCAACGUCAACAACAACGUGAGCAUGAAUCAUUCUCAGACUCCCUUUACGUGCCAUGAAAAGCAGAAAAGUGAUUAUCGUUUUCUCCCAUCGCUCAUCUUCUGGAUCGUUGGCACCGUUUGUGGUGGUGUUUUGUUGGGUUUGGUUAUGGGUGGGAUUGUAGCAUUUGUCAAGAGAAGAAAAUGUUCAAAAGUUCAUCCACAGUCCAGUCGUGUUGUGAUUGAACAGCAUCAUGAAACAAUUUACUGCACCGUGGAAAAGCCGGCCACAUCCCAGACACAUCCAGGAAACAACACUGUCAGCAACAAAGUAGAAACCAUCUACGACACUCCAUCACGACAUACCAAGGCUUGUCAAGUAGACAGUGUGGAGGUGAUGAGAGACAAUCAGGAGCAACAGCAAUCUGGACAAGACAGAACUAUUCAAGUAAAAGCUACAGUUCACCAGGCAGCAGAACCCGAUUCAGAUCCAAUAAACACUGUUUACUGUAAACUGGGAGAGAUAUGACACAAACACAUACUGAGACGUCACUUCAGUGGAGAUUUAAAU